GACGAACGCUGGCGGCGUGCUUAACACAUGCAAGUCGAACGGAAAGGCCCUGCUUUUGUGGGGUGCUCGAGUGGCGAACGGGUGAGUAACACGUGAGUAACCUGCCCUUGACUUUGGGAUAACUUCAGGAAACUGGGGCUAAUACCGGAUAGGAGCUCCUGCUGCAUGGUGGGGGUUGGUAAGUUUCGGCGGUUGGGGAUGGACUCGCGGCUUAUCAGCUUGUUGGUGGGGUAGUGUCUUACCAAGGCUUUGACGGGUAGCCGGCCUGAGAGGGUGACCGGCCACAUUGGGACUGAGAUACGGCCCAGACUCCUACGGGAGGCAGCAGUGGGGAAUAUUGCACAAUGGGCGGAAGCCUGAUGCAGCAACGCCGCGUGCGGGAUGACGGCCUUCGGGUUGUAAACCGCUUUCGCCUGUGACGAAGCGUGAGUGACGGUAAUGGGUAAAGAAGCACCGGCUAACUACGUG
rnacentral:rRNA from 1 species